UACGGCGGUGAGAAUGUAUGUAUCUGAGCUGGAAUGCACACCUUUCUGCAUGCAAAAGAUAUUGCCAAUUGAAUUAGCAGUACUGUUCUUAGCUAGGUUAUAAAAAUUAAAGCAGAUGUGCUACUGCUACUAAUAUCAUUGAUCAUACAAUUAGUGUUCAGCAUAUUAUAUUAUAAGUUAAUUUAGGUUUGUCCUGAAUUAAAUAUCUUUAAGUUUAAUCAAGUUUAUAAAAAUAUAGCAACAUUUCUAGGAUAAAAUAAAUAGACUAUAAAAAUAUAUUUAAAUGUGGAUUUAAUGAAACUAAUUUGGUGUUUUGGAUGACGGUAUAAACUUAAUCAAAUUUAAAGAGAUCGAAUUAAAACAAACUCAAAAUGACUUAUAAUAUGCAAGAAGUAUUAAUUAAUCCCUCUGCUAAAAAAUGAAGUUAUUUCUACGGCCAACCAUUUGCUCCAAAAUGUAUUUAUUUCUCCACCUAACUUAUCAUCUCAACCAAUCCCAAACAUUCUUUAUUUAUUUAUUUCUUUCUACAUUAUCUUCUCAACCAAUCACAAACUUUCUUCAAUUAUUCUCGCGUACUAAAUACUCAUGCUCACCUUAAAAGUAUUUAUAUUUUAGAACAGAAUCAGUUCAAAUGAGAAAAGAGAGAGGCGAUUGAAGUUGUUAGCUCAAAGCAUACUUCAUCAGAUAUUCAGAUAUGAAAAUUGGCAAGUGCAGUUACCAGGAGGCUACUUGGAGUGGAGCUGACAGCUUCAGAGAUGUUGGGAGGAGGGGACUCUUGUCGCGUGGGUACUUGGGCACGCCACGCAUGCCUUUCGAAGGCGAUGCUGGAAUCUGGAUGCAAGAGGUUGCACAUUGGUUCCUACCUCCUAGAUUUUUCAUUGGGUGUCUGCACUGCACCUACAGUCCAACAAGCAAUUCAGUCAUUUAUUUUCCCCCAUCUAGCUACUCCUUUUGUUUUCUUGGUUGCUUUUGAUGUGUUCAAGAAUCAAGAACAUAGCUUAUUGGUAAAAGAGAAAAAAAAGAAAGUGUA
rnacentral:lncRNA from 1 species